rnacentral:rRNA from 1 species
CCGGCACGGGUGAGUAGCACGUAUCCAACCUGCCGUCUACUCUUGGCCAGCCUUCUGAAAGGAAGAUUAAUCCAGGAUGGGAUCAUGAGUUCACAUGUCCGCAUGAUUAAAGGUAUUUUCCGGUAGACGAUGGGGAUGCGUUCCAUUAGAUAGUAGGCGGGGUAACGGCCCACCUAGUCAACGAUGGAUAGGGGUUCUGAGAGGAAGGUCCCCCACAUUGGAACUGAGACACGGUCCAA